rnacentral:rRNA from 1 species
GUACACUCCUACGGGAGGCAGCAGUGGGGAAUUUUGGACAAUGGGCGAAAGCCUGAUCCAGCAAUGCCGCGUGUGUGAAGAAGGCCUUCGGGUUGUAAAGCACUUUUGUCCGGAAAGAAAUCCUUGGCUCUAAUACAGUCGGGGGAUGACGGUACCGGAAGAAUAAGCACCGGCUAACUACGUGCCAGCAGCCGCGGUAAUACGUAGGGUGCGAGCGUUAAUCGGAAUUACUGGGCGUAAAGCGUGCGCAGGCGGUUUGCUAAGACCGAUGUGAAAUCCCCGGGCUCAACCUGGGAACUGCAUUGGUGACUGGCAGGCUAGAGUAUGGCAGAGGGGGGUAGAAUUCCACGUGUAGCAGUGAAAUGCGUAGAGAUGUGGAGGAAUACCGAUGGCGAAGGCAGCCCCCUGGGCCAAUACUGACGCUCAUGCACGAAAGCGUGGGGAGCAAACAGGAUUAGAUACCCGAGUAGUCCCAUGA